AAUUAAGUGCUGUGCUGCACCCCAUGUUUAUAUUGAACUAUUAAAUGAGGCACCCCAUGAGGGGCUCUGGCUCCAACUGAUGCCCUGACUUCCUCUACAUCUUCCUGGGUUCUGAUCUGGGUGAAGAGAUGAUGUUGCCUACAGAAGGAAUCCUCUGCAGAGGUGUCUUUGUGACAAACACAGUCUUUGAAGUCUUACUGAAGUGCCACUUCUGUUUCACAGGACUGUAGUCAGAUGGACAACCAUUCUAGAUGCCUCCAGCGUUUCCUUCAUAGGUCUUAACCUUGUCCAGUCCUCUGCAAGGAUGUACCAGUUGUACUCCUCAGAGAAACACAAGGGAAGAGUUAUAGUGAGCAGUGGCUUCAUGCAAGUAAAAGGAAAAUGAUGCUGGAAAGGUGGUUUGGAGCAGAGCAGGACUGCGAGAAAUGAAAGCAGGGGCAUAAGGUCAGGCUUGGAUAGCCAUGAAACUUAUCCUCCUUUUUCUCAUACUUCAUCCACAUGUUUCCACUUUGACUCCUGAUACAUCUGGUGCAAUCCUCACCUUGCAGCCCCAGCUCUGCCAGGCCCUUCCAAUGGCCACAGCAAGUGAAGCAAUACUCAGUGUCCCAGGUUGGGACCUAUAAGGUUAAAAAUCCCCUAGGGGCUAGAAAAUUGUUAUUCAAUCCCAUAACCCUGCUACCUGUUUAUAAACUCAUGGCAAGGCCAGCUCGCUUUCCUUUCCUCUCCCUUCAGCCCUCUGUCUGGCAGGACUUGCUUUUAUCAGGACAAACACGUAAGGAGUAGGCCUGUUUGGGGGCUUCAGGUCUACUAUGUAUGGCAGAGGCAUUGAGGGGGGCACACUGGAGCACUGGGGAUUAUAGAUUUAGUUUUGGGCCAGGGCGUUUGCUAUAUGGAUUUUGUAUCUGCUUUGUAAUUGCUUUCUGUAUGUCUCUUUCUAAAUAUAAUUUUGUUUUCUCUCCAA